GAUGAACGCUAGCUACAGGCUUAACACAUGCAAGUCGAGGGGCAGCAUGGUCUUAGCUUGCUAAGGCCGAUGGCGACCGGCGCACGGGUGAGUAACACGUAUCCAACCUGCCGUCUACUCUUGGACAGCCUUCUGAAAGGAAGAUUAAUACAAGAUGGCAUCAUGAGUCCACAUGUUCACAUGAUUAAAGGUAUUCCGGUAGACGAUGGGGAUGCGUUCCAUUAGAUAGUAGGCGGGGUAACGGCCCACCUAGUCUUCGAUGGAUAGGGGUUCUGAGAGGAAGGUCCCCCACAUUGGAACUGAGACACGGUCCAAACUCCUACGGGAGGCAGCAGUGAGGAAUAUUGGUCAAUGGGCGAGAGCCUGAACCAGCCAAGUAGCGUGAAGGAUGACUGCCCUAUGGGUUGUAAACUUCUUUUAUAAAGGAAUAAAGUCGGGUAUGCAUACCCGUUUGCAUGUACUUUAUGAAUAAGGAUCGGCUAACUCCGUGCCAGCAGCCGCGGUAAUACGGAGGAUCCGAGCGUUAUCCGGAUUUAUUGGGUUUAAAGGGAGCGUAGAUGGAUGUUUAAGUCAGUUGUGAAAGUUUGCGGCUCAACCGUAAAAUUGCAGUUGAUACUGGAUAUCUUGAGUGCAGUUGAGGCAGGCGGAAUUCGUGGUGUAGCGGUGAAAUGCUUAGAUAUCACGAAGAACUCCGAUUGCGAAGGCAGCCUGCUAAGCUGCAACUGACAUUGAGGCUCGAAAGUGUGGGUAUCAAACAGGAUUAGAUACCCUGGUAGUCCACACGGUAAACGAUGAAUACUCGCUGUUUGCGAUAUACAGCAAGCGGCCAAGCGAAAGCGUUAAGUAUUCCACCUGGGGAGUACGCCGGCAACGGUGAAACUCAAAGGAAUUGACGGGGGCCCGCACAAGCGGAGGAACAUGUGGUUUAAUUCGAUGAUACGCGAGGAACCUUACCCGGGCUUAAAUUGCAGAUGAAUUACGGUGAAAGCCGUAAGCCGCAAGGCAUCUGUGAAGGUGCUGCAUGGUUGUCGUCAGCUCGUGCCGUGAGGUGUCGGCUUAAGUGCCAUAACGAGCGCAACCCUUGUUGUCAGUUACUAACAGGUCAUGCUGAGGACUCUGACAAGACUGCCAUCGUAAGAUGUGAGGAAGGUGGGGAUGACGUCAAAUCAGCACGGCCCUUACGUCCGGGGCUACACACGUGUUACAAUGGGGGGUACAGAGGGCCGCUACCACGCGAGUGGAUGCCAAUCCCAAAAACCUCUCUCAGUUCGGACUGGAGUCUGCAACCCGACUCCACGAAGCUGGAUUCGCUAGUAAUCGCGCAUCAGCCACGGCGCGGUGAAUACGUUCCCGGGCCUUGUACACACCGCCCGUCAAGCCAUGGGAGCCGGGGGUACCUGAAGUGCGUAACCGCGAGGAGCGCCCUAGGGUAAAACU
rnacentral:rRNA from 1 species